rnacentral:rRNA from 1 species
AGAGUUUGAUCCUGGCUCAGGAUGAACGCUAGCGGCAGGCUUAAUACAUGCAAGUCGAACGAGAUUCGGGGUAGCAAUACUUUGAUGAGAGUGGCGCACGGGUGCGUAACGCGUAUGCAACCUACCUUUAACAGGGGAAUAGCCCCGAGAAAUCGGGAUUAAUACUCCGUAACAUUGCGGUGUGGCAUCACACUGCAAUUAAAGAUUUAUCGGUUAAAGAUGGGCAUGCGUGACAUUAGCUAGUUGGUGAGGUAACGGCUCACCAAGGCAACGAUGUCUAGGGGUCCUGAGAGGGUUAUCCCCCACACUGGUACUGAGACACGGACCAGACUCCUACGGGAGGCAGCAGUAAGGAAUAUUGGUCAAUGGGCGCAAGCCUGAACCAGCCAUGCCGCGUGCAGGAAGACGGCCCUAUGGGUUGUAAACUGCUUUUAUCAGGGAAUAAACCCCCGCUCGUGAGCGGGGCUGAAGGUACCUGAAGAAUAAGCAUCGGCUAACUCCGUGCCAGCAGCCGCGGUAAUACGGAGGAUGCAAGCGUUAUCCGGAUUCAUUGGGUUUAAAGGGUGCGCAGGCGGAUUGGUAAGUCAGGGGUGAAAUCCCACAGCUCAACUGUGGAACUGCCUUUGAUACUGUCAGUCUAGAGUAUAGUUGAAGUUGGCGGAAUGUGUCAUGUAGCGGUGAAUGCUUAGAUAUGACACAGAACACCGAUCGCGAAGGCAGCUAGCUAAGCUAUAACUGACGCUCAUGCACGAAAGCGUGGGGAUCAAACAGGAUUAGAUACCCUGGUAGUCCACGCUGUAAACGAUGAUUACUCGAUGUUGGCGAUACACAGUCAGCGUCUGAGCGAAAGCAAUAAGUAAUCCACCUGGGGAGUACGAUCGCAA